rnacentral:rRNA from 3 species
AUUGAACGCUGGCGGAAUGCUUUACACAUGCAAGUCGAACGGCAGCAUAGAGAGCUUGCUCUCUGAUGGCGAGUGGCGAACGGGUGAGUAAUAUAUCGGAACGUGCCUAGUAAUGGGGAAUAACUAGCUGAAAGGUUAGCUAAUGCCGCAUACGACCUACGGGUGAAAGCAGGGGAUCUUCGGACCUUGCGUUAUUAGAGCGGCCGAUAUCUGAUUAGCUUGUUGGUGGGGUAAUGGCCUACCAAGGCGACGAUCAGUAGCUGGUCUGAGAGGACGAUCAGCCACACUGGAACUGAGACACGGUCCAGACUCCUACGGGAGGCAGCAGUGGGGAAUUUUGGACAAUGGGGGCAACCCUGAUCCAGCCAUUCCGCGUGAGUGAAGAAGGCCUUCGGGUUGUAAAGCUCUUUCGCAAGAGAAGAAAACUUGCUAUCUAAUAAAUAGUAAGUAUGACGGUAUCUUGACAAGAAGCACCGGCUAACUACGUGCCAGCAGCCGCGGUAAUACGUAGGGUGCAAGCGUUAAUCGGAAUUACUGGGCGUAAAGCGUGCGCAGGCAGUUUUAUAAGUCAGAUGUGAAAUCCCCGAGCUCAACUUGGGAACUGCGUUUGAAACUGUAAGACUAGAGUGUGUCAGAGGGGGGUAGAAUUCCAAGUGUAGCAGUGAAAUGCGUAGAGAUUUGGAGGAAUACCAAUGGCGAAGGCAGCCCCCUGGGAUAACACUGA